AGAUUGUAGUUAUGAAAGUGAGGAAGGAAAGCAGCUUGCUAGCACUCUCAGGCUGAACUCUGCUACUGGUCUUGUUUAAACCUCUCGGUGACAGCCCAAGGGUGUUAGUCACACGAUUGUUUAGGAUGUGCAAUCAGCCUAGGCUAAAAUGAUGUCAUCAGGAAGAAUUACUCUGGGACUUUGCAAAUCUGCAAUGUAGGAUUUACUGAGGAAAAUGAAACCAUUAGCUCUUUUUACCCCUCCCAUCCCCCAUGGUUUUGUCUUUUAACUAGGCAAAUGAGAAGAUUCUAGAGGAUAUUAAUAACUACUCAUUGCAUCAUCAAGAAAGAAUAGCUAAGAGGAGACUUGGAUAAAAACUUUAUUUCUUAACAAUUCUCACUGGGGAACAAAGCAGUUUAACAGCCAAGUAGCUAGUCCUCAAAAUGAUGAUUCAACACGUUAUGUAAUGCUGGAUACAGAAAGAUGGAAUCUCUACAAUGUAUCUGCUUCCAACAUGACCAUGAAUGGCUGCUGAUGAACGGUGUCAGUCUGCGCCUGGGAACGGAACCUGGCCUGCUGAAGUGGAGCAUGCUGAACUUAACCAGUAGGCCACAGGGCCAGCCCCAACUAUUAUUAUUAAUAUUAUUAUUCAGAAAGUCCAAGAUGGGGUAUAGACUAGUCUAGGCUGUGUGGGAAACUAGUAACACUUUCCUCAGUGUCCUCCUUAGUCUUCUCGGACCUGGGGAGGAAGUACUGCUCUGUGGGUCACAGAAAUGGACGGGGAUGAGUUGGUGGGGGAGGGGCUUUGAGGCACAUUGAAGAGCUGCUUUUGACUUCCCAGUAAAGGCAGUCUGCCUGUCUUGGCUCAGUUCUGCACUGAGCCUCUUAUUGGGCUUGGGACCCAAACAAUUGGAACUUCCUCUGCCUUUGAAGAAUUUGCCAGCUAGGUGGGGAUUCAAGGACAUUCACACAAGAUGCAGCUUCAGCAUAAUAAUGAGGAAGCAUCUCUAUUAACAAGAACAGAAUGACAUGGUAAAAACUUGAUACACUUAUGAUAAAUGUUUAGGGCAAGAAAUGCUUAUUGACAAGUCUAAACUCUGGAGAGCUGGGUAAAAUUUUCUGAACGUGCUAAUACCAUUCAUAGCUCUGUGGAAAUCAAGCAGAGAGGCCCUUUAUUACCAGCCCUUCCCCACCCCUCACCCCGCCCCGCCCAAACCUGCCUCUCUGCCCACUGUGUCUGUUUCUCUCCCCAAGCUGUGGUCUGGACCAGCCAGUGACACAUAAUUCCAAAUCCUGCCCACAGUCUUCUGUGACUUUGGAGGAAAGGCCAGAGUGUUUUCCUAGGGGAGCCCCGUGUUUUCACAUUUUAAAGCAGGUACUGGUGGAGCGAUGAAUGGUGAAAGCUCUCUCUUUAAAAGACCGAGGGUGGCUUUAGGUGACUGCUAAUUUGGGCUUUUGCGGAGGAUGAUGUUUACUUCACAGACUAAUGACAGGGCUGGCUUUCUGGGAGUGUUGCAAUGAAAAAGAUUCAGACUCCACGGAACUCCUCCCUAGCAAGGCUGCUCCAGCCAGCAUUACGAGGGCAGUUCCACUGAGCUCAGGAUUUGGGUGUGAGACACAGCUUUCGUCAGAAGAUUUUUAACCAAAUGUGUGUGUGGUUUUGUCCUCUGGAUAAAUGUGUGGGUUCAGUAGCAGCCGUAUCUCCUCGCCACAUUCUCUUAGCUGGUUAUGCGACUGUGAGAAGAAAAGCAAGAACAAAACAAAAAACAUAGUUGUGACUCUAUAUUAGUUAAAAAUACACCUAUGGAAUUUGAAGGCACCACAGAAGUCAUCUGCAAAUGGGAAAAACUGAAGCCCAGAGAAGGAGAGUGCCCUGUCCAAAGUCACACAGCAAUGCUUUGUAGCAAAGGAGUGGGAACGUGGAGGAGGAUGGGAGAAGCGAGCUGACUGUUACUGAGUGCCUUUAAGUGUCAGGCAUUGAGCCCACAGCUGCUUCCCGUGUGCAUCAUUAUCGAGGAUCCAAGGAACCAAGACAGAUGAACGAACACAGUGCAAAGAACCCGAGCUGUAGCUCCAGCAGAUCUGAGUUUGAAUCUUGGCUCCAACACUCAUUCGUUGUGUGGCCUUAGCAAGGAUUUGACCUCCUCAGCCUCGUUUUCUCAAGUUAUAGAGGGGGCCCCAACCUUGUGGAUCAAAGGCAAAGAAAGGUGGGCUUCUGGAGGCCUGGCACAAGUACAUGGUACCAGCUGAACCCAUUUGCUCUUACAUCUAUUCCUUGCCUAUUUCUUGCUCUGCUCUGAACCACAGGGAGGCUGACCACUGAAGGCUUCAUGUCAGUGGCUUCUGGGUGGGUUUGACCAAUGGGAGGUGUUGGUGGGAAGCUGGAGGUAGGGAGGAGGGGAGAAGCUAGGAUACUUUUCCCUGUCUCUCUCUAGUGGCAUUUCUGACAGUGACUGUUUCUGGGUCUCUGGUUCCUGCCAGAUAGACCUGCUACUAUUCCGGCUUUUGGUGGGUGACCCUGGCCCCUGGGCUCAGGUAAUUCUGCUUCUCCUUCUCCUUGUGCACCCAGCCCUUGAAGGGGUGAGCAUUACUUCCGGCUGCUUGGGGUUGCCUCAUCAUCACCUGGUAGAUUUCCCAACUCCGCAGUCACUCGUGUAACCAAUUCUCUGUAUUAAAUCUCCCUUGUUGUAAGUAUUCAGAGUGGUUUCUCCUUUCUAGGUUGGACUCUGACUAAUAUACCAGCUUAGUUAGUGACUGUACUUUAGAGAGUAAGGUCACUGAUGUUUAUCUUGGAGGAGGUGGUGUAUUUCUUUUUGUAUUUUUCCAGUUAAUUAUGGGGCAAGGUUGUGUGUGUAUGAACAAACCAGCUGGAUACAUUUGUGUGGUCUGCCAGACCACAUUGUUGCUCAGUUUGAGCUCUGAGGGCUCCCUGUGCAAGUUCUGCAUAGGCAACAUGCCCUCUGGACUUCAGAGACUCUGCAUGACCCCUGCCUGCAGCCCCAGCCCUAGUGAGAAGACAGGAGUCGGGUCUCAGCCCCUGAGUUCCUGUUGGAAAAGUAGCAUAAAGAAGGAUGUUGGGGAAGCCAGGAACUGGUGAAAGGAGAGACUGAGAGGCAUGAAGAAGGAAGGAAAGGAAGGGGAAAGAGAGAAUGGAACAGGUGUAUCCGUGUGUAGCACAGUGUCUCUACAUAGAAGGGCUCAAUGGGUAUCUGCUGAAUGAAUGAAAGACUAGAGGAAGUAGACGGAACAAGUAGAGAGUGUGGGUAGUACUGGCAAAGACCGAGCGGACCUUUGUCUCCAUUCCUGCUGCUGUCACCCUGCUUCAGGGCUUCCAAACAGGUCACCUAUGACAACAGCCUCCUAACUGGUUUCCUGGCCUCCAGUCUUCCUGACCACUGCUUCAGUAGUCUUUUCCAAAAUCACAAUCUCAGUUGCUUGAGCCUAAAUGUGUUAGUGGCUCCUGGAUGAGUAGUGAUUAAAUUCUGUCGUGUACUUGUGAGCCUCAUCUUCUACUUUACUACCCUACUUUCCACCUGGACUCUUCACAGUGUUCCCCACUCCUGGAACGUGUAGGGGGAUGGACAUGUCCUUACCCUCAGACCUGCUCCCUAAACCUGCUUCCUCGGUUUUUAUCUUUGUCUGUUUGAGGCCUGGGACGCUACCGUGACUUGGGACAGGGUUGGGGAACAGAAAGUUGGGUAACUAAACUCACAUCUGGCCCUUGACCCCACCUCCUGCUCUCCCUCUCCCCAUAAUUCCUUUCGGCUCUUGAAGAGCCUGGGACGGUGGUCCCACUGCAGCAGCCUGGAGGUCACUCAGAGGUUCUCACACGCCGGGCUCCUGAGAGAGAAUGGGUGGGGAGCCAGGCUGUUAGUGCCAAAAGGGCCAGCUCCCCAAGCAGGCUUUCUUCCUGCUCAGAGAGGUCUCACCGUGACUGCUGCCAAGCUGUGUAUGCCAGAGCAGAAGUACAGACUGGCUCUGUGUGAGUGAGAAGACAAAUGAGCAUGUCAAAUGUGCUUCCCCAUAGCCUGGCAGGGUAGGCUGGGACUGCAUGGGAAGCCAGGCUGGGACUGGAAGAUUUUUGCUGACUUUGCUGGAAGAGCUGGAAGACACCUACUUCAACCACGCCACUCGAAUUCAAUCCAAUUAACAUUUGCAGAUUCCUGUGACACGACAUGGUGGUUUUGAUUUGCACAGACCUGGGUGUGAAUCUUUGCUCUGUUGCUUACCUGCUAUGCAGGCAAAUUACUUAAUCUCUCAUUUUCCUCAUCUGUAAAAUGGACUAAUAAAUACUCUCCUUAUAGAGUACCAAGUAUUUUGCACCUGAUAAUGCUUCAAUAAAAGGACAC
rnacentral:lncRNA from 1 species